UGCAACCCGACUCCACGAAGUUGGAUUCGCUAGUAAUCGCGCAUCAGCCAUGGCGCGGUGAAUACGUUCCCGGGCCUUGUACACACCGCCCGUCAAGCCAUGGGAGCCGGGGGCGCCUGAAGUCCGGGACCGCGAGGACCGGCCUAGGGCGAAACUGGUAACUGGGGCUAAGUCGUAACAAGGUACC
rnacentral:rRNA from 1 species